GAUUCUGCUGAUAUGAGGUGUGAGGUUUCCAGCUGCCGCCACCAUCGCGAUUCCCGGGGGCAUGUCCAGACGGAGGAUGAAAUCGACUUCUAGAGAAAGGCAGGGCAAAAACAAUUAGAGAAAUGGAUGGUGUCCUCUGAGCCUCUGGAUUGAAGGACCUGCAGCCAGCUCUCUCCUCGGACUUUCAGUUGUGUCAGCCAGCUAAAGAAGCCAUCCUGAGUGUUGGAUACCCAGUCCCGGCGAGGUAGCAUCUUACCGAGGACAGCAAUGGUGGCCAUGUCUCCCAAGACAGCACAAUCUUUCCCAGAGACGGGAAAACAUAAGAUGAAUCUCACCAAGGCCAAGGAGAGAAGAUCGCCCACUCCCUUACUGCUCCAGACCUAGAGGCACAAGGCUAGAGUUGCCAGGAAAGUUACUGUAUUGACAGGCUUCACGUUUCAGUUCUGGCUUGCCCCUGGUCAUCUAAACACUCUUUGGUACACUGAGGAACAGAACGGCCAUCAGCACCGAGGGAGAGAACAGAAGUGUGGUCGUUGGCUGAGUGGAACACACGAGACGGAACCUGGACUGCUCCACCCG